GAGGGGAUAGCUCAAAUGGUAGAGCGUAUGCUUAUCAUGCAUGAGGUCCUGGGUUCAGUUCCCAAUACUUUCU
rnacentral:tRNA from 1 species